rnacentral:ncRNA from 1 species
CAAAUCCUUCGGGGCAGGGUGCGGGAGGCAAACUCCCAAUUCCCGAUCGGUGGUGAUAACCCACGAACGCGCUCGCGCGUAUGAUCCGGUGAAAUUCCGGGGUCGACGGUAUAGUCCGGAUAGAAGAAGGUACCC